rnacentral:rRNA from 1 species
UCGGAAGUAAAAGUUGUAACAAGGUUUCCGUAGGUGAACCUGCGGAAGGAUCAUUAAUUGAAUCAACAUGUUUCUCAGCAUGAUAUUUCAAACCCCACCUGUGUAUCUUACCUGUUGCUUCCGUGCCGCACAUGCUGUGAAAGGCGUGCCUCCUCUGGUCCUCUGGCACGUACCCCGAGUACUGCCCCCGGGACCCUGGGGGAGUCGGCACGGGAGGUUAACCGUAAACUCUUGCCUUUGAAUGCCUUCCGUCUGAACUAUAGUACGUAAAAAAGUUAAAACUUUCAACAACGGAUCUCUUGGUUCUCGCAUCGAUGAAGAACGCAGCGAAAUGCGAUAAGUAGUGUGAAUUGCAGAAUUCCGUGAAUCAUCGAAUCUUUGAACGCACAUUGCGCCUCCUGGUAUUCCGGGAGGCAUGCCUGUUCGAGCGUCACUAAAAUCAACUCAAGCACUUUUGCGUGGUCAUGGAGGAAGAGUCCGCCUUGUUGCGGUCUCCCCUCCCAAAAUCAAGGGCGGAAAGUCACUGGCACUCGGCGUAGUAGUAUCAUUCGCGGGUCGUCCAGCGUCCUUCCUGCCGUCAAACCCCCACAAUUCUCUUGAUUGACCUCGGAUCAGGUAGGGAUACCCGCUGAACUUAAGCAUAUCA